ensembl:lncRNA
GAGCUGUUCGGCAGCCUUCUACACUACACACUACAGGCAGCAAACAAAAAGGGUUAUAUGGGGUUAAGUGGUUUCUGGAGGCUACUAUGAAGAGGGUUAGAAUUUGUCUGUUUUCGUUUGCUUGCUCGAGUGAUAUUUGGGCACAAGUGUUCUCUUAGGAUUGGGCACACUGCUGAACACUCUUGUUAGUUCCAGUGAGUUGUUUCUUCCUGCUUGGAUUCAGGAAACAGACCGUGCAAUCCAGAUGACCAUCCAACCAACAGGUUCUCCUCUCCGAGUCUCCGAUAGUGAAGGAGAGAGUGCUAGAUGGAGCUUAACCAAGGAUGAAGAGAGAGAACAGUUUUAUUCCAGGACAUUUAGUUACAGGUCCACAGUGUUUGAGUGUUUCUCCUCCAAAGUGUUGCUCUAUUUGACUACAUAAUACACCUUAUUUGAGAAGUUUUACCUGAAACGUCUGGGAGCACGACGAUUACUCAGGUGGCAACUAUCAACUUCUCAACCACAGUGGCAGCUUCCAUCUCCACGCCUGCCUCUGACAGAGUAAAGCACAACAAGACAAAGUAUUAUCAUGUUUCAUUAGUGCCUGGAUGGAUUCGUGUUUGUUAGUGGACUGUGAUGCCAGGUUGCUUUCUUGGAAUAGCUGUGUGUUGUAUAAUGGCUGAAUGUUCUGGAAUCACAGGCUGUUCAAGAAUGUCUGGCUGUUUUUAGAAUGUCAGAAUGUUCUAGAAUUUCUGGAUGUUGUAGAAUAUCUGGGUGCUCUAGAAUGUCUGGGUGUUUUGAAUGUUGGGAUGAUCUAGAAUGUUUGGGUGUUCAAGAAUGAUUUGAUGUUCUAGAAUGUCUUGAUGUUCUAGAAUGUCUGGGUGUUCUAGAAUGUCUGGAUGUCCUAGAAUGUCUGGGUGUUCAAGAAUGCCUGGGUGUUCUAGAAUGUCUGGGUGUUCUAGAAAGUCUGGGUGUUCUAGAAUGUCUGUGUGUUGUAGAAUGCCUGGAUGUUCUAGAAUGUCUGGGUGUUCUAGAAUGUCUUGAUGUUCUAGAAUGUCUGGUCCUUUUAGAAUGUCUGGGUGUUCUAGAAUGUAUGGGUCGUCUAAAAUGUCUUUGUUCUAGAAUGUCUGGGUAAUCUAGAAUGCCUGGGUGUUCU